CGCCUGGUGUUUGAGGCGGCCGUGGGGGGUCAGCCGAAGGCCGGGGAAGGCCGGGUCGAGACGCGGGGUCGCAUGUUCGGCUUUAUUAGUAUCGACUCCCUCUCGUCUGUAAUAGAGACCCUCCUGGGCUGCGCAGUUUCCGAACAGGGAUGUGGUCACUCCUGGCCUGAUCCCCACGCCCAGGCCCUCGGGGCUCCCAUUUGCUCGGUGGGGAAACCGAGAGCUGCAGUGCUUCCCGCCCCCCAGAGGUCCCACGUGCUCGCGGUUCCCGGGCGUCUGCUGUGUGCCUGCGUGUGCGGUCGUGUGGGAACCCGGGCCCUGCUGUGCGGGGGGCUGCCGAGGGCACUGGGGACCCCAGAGCCUCCUUCGUGGCCUGGGGGCUUCGGAGAAGACGAAGCUGUCCCAGAUUCGCUGUUCCUCCCCUCCACACUCAGCCCCCGCCAACCUGGGCCUUGGUGCCAUACUGACUUUUCUGCUGGUCAUCCAACACAGUUUCUCGAUCACGGUGCUAGUGACCAUUUGGGCCGGAUCACUGUUUGCUGUGGGGGCCGUCCUGUGCAUUGUAGGAUGGUCAGCAGCGUCUCUGGUCUCCACCCACUAGAGGCCAACAACACUCCCUCUCCGCCCGCUCCCCUCCCCCACACCUUAUGAUACCUGUCUCUGGACAUCACCUCGUUGAGAACCAUUGCUCCAAGGCAGAAAGAGCCACUCCGCAGGCUCUUUCUCAGACCAGAAUGCCCUCCUACCCCAUCCCUUCUCAACUCCUGCUGGAAAGCUCCCUAGACUAGGUAGGGUCCCAUUCCAUGCUCAGUGGCACUCAUCUAUGUUCCAUGACAGCAGGGAUGGGGUCUGCCUUUGCUACCCAAGUGUCCCCAACAAGCAGCCAGGGGCCUGAUCAGAAGCAGGUGGUACUCUUUUGAGUUGAAUGAGUGAGUUUUUGCAGCCUCCCAUACGGUUUCCAGGGCCCCCAGGUGGGCUGGAACUCAGUGUGAUCUGAGCCCGUGUGGACCUGUCUCUGCCCUGCAGGGUCUUUAUGAAGUCUCCAGUGAAUUCACACAUGUAAAACCCUUGACUUCCACCUCAACCCAAACGUUCCUUUCACUUCAGCUUUUGCCUCCCCAGCCAGAAAGGAGGCUGCCCCAGGCACCAGGAGGGCCACGUGAUCAGAGCCCAGAGCUAUGGAGGAGUAAAGAGGGGGAGACAAGGAUGAGGAGAGAGUUGCAGCCACCAGAGAUUCCUCUGCAAAGCCGUUCACGGGACACCAUGGGCCCUGAGGCAGACAAGCACCCUGACACAGAGGAGACUACAGGAAAUCACCCGAGGCGCGCAGGCCAGGCCCUGCGGUGUCCAGACCCUCAGUUUGGACCCAGGCCCCUCCCCAGGUCUUGCUCCAGGACGUGGGGGCAGAGGACAACAAAAGUCCUGUUCCAGUGAGUUUACAGAACUACAGGGGUGAGGGGAGGUGAUGAGGGAGAUGCCCUACACUGCACGCUACUAAGCGCUUUGGACAAAAGUUGACAAAAGUGGAGCAGGAGAGGCAGACCCAGCAUGUCCUGGGCUGCGGGCGGUGACGGCCUCCCAGGGUUCAACUGUGGAACCAAGCAAACAUCUGGACAUACGCCCCUCCAGGCACCAGGCGUUCUUGUUUCUGGCCAACACCACCCCACCCCAGGUGCUUUUUGGGGGGACCGAACCCCUCCAACUAGACUGGGCAUCUCAUCCAGCCCCAGCCCCUCAGAGUCCAGGCCCUGCCCACUUCAAUCACAGAGUGGGGAGGGGGCUCAGGUCCCACUCACUGGGCCUGCACCAAUGCUCCCCGCCCCAGAUGCCGGAAUUCUCCAACCCACCACCCUGCCCUCUAGAAGGACGGGGGUCUGUGGGGUUUUGCUGUGUGGACAUUUGAUUCUGGUUUUGGCCACUCGGUCCAUCACCUUGGUGGUGGCACAGCCUAAACUCACUAGAAAAAAGAGGAUUAGGAGCUGGGGCGAGGUGUACCUGGAGCACCUGCCUCUCCCCACACACCCCGGGGACGUAUCUGGAGCAGACAGGACUCCCAGGGCCAGGGACUAAGAAGAAAACCCUUUUUCACACAAGUGGAGUAAAGAGAGCAGAGGUGCACUUUAACCAAGCGGGGAGUGGUGGUGCCGACAGGAGAAGUCUCCUGGGUCAUGGCUGUUGGC
rnacentral:lncRNA from 1 species